rnacentral:rRNA from 1 species
UAGUCCACGCCGUAAACGAUGCACACUAGGUCGGGGAGGCUUUCACGCCCUCCCGGCCGAAGGAAAACCAUUAAGUGUGCCGCCUGGGGAGUACGGUCGCAAGGCUAAAACUCAAAGGAAUUGACGGGGGCUCACACAAGCGGUGGAGCAUGUUGCUUAAUUCGAGGCAACGCGAAGAACCUUACCUGGUCUUGACAUGUAUGGAUUAACUCCUGGAAACAGGAGCCACGCCCUUGGGUGGAACAUACACAGGUGCUGCAUGGCUGUCGUCAGCUCGUGCUGUGAAGUGUCGGGUUAAGUCCCUUAACGAGCGCAACCCCUAUCGUUAGUUACUAACACGUUAUGGUGAGGACUCUAACGAGACUGCCGGUGUCAAACCGGAGGAAGGUGGGGAUGACGUCAAGUCCUCAUGGCCCUUACGACCAGGGCUGCAAACGUGCUACAAUGGUAUGGACAGAGCGACGCAAGACCGCGAGGUGGAGCAAAUCGCACAAACCAUGCCCCAGUUCGGAUAGCAGG